UCUCAAUUACUUCAACGUCUGUAUUGAGAGACAUGAUAUUACUAUUGCCAUUUUGCAGAUGGGGAAACUGAGGCAAAGGUGAGGAGGAAGCAUAAUGUAGGCUGAGGGCAAAGUGCAAGCUAGCACACCCCGCACACCUCCCCCUGACCCCAGGUGGGAUAUGUGUGAUAUUCCUUGGACAUUCCCAGCUACCCAGAAACAGGAAAGGACUAAACAAAACAAAACAAAACAAAAACCCCAAAACAAGUGGUUAAACUGAUAAGAGUCUCCACCAGUUUACAAGAAAAAUGCAAUCUCAUCAAUAGCCUAAAGUCCAGGAACUCCCUACUGUCUUAAUGUUAAUGCUUUGCUAGAGGAAAAACAACCUUAGCUUGACAAUAGCUAGGCCUCCAGUAAUCUGUGAGUCUUUAGCAUGUGAAAAUCUCUUUCAAAACUUCCCUUUUGACUUUACCUCCCUCAGCCCCACAGUAUAUAAAAAUUCACUCUUCACAACCCCAGUGCAGCUCUUCCUGCCCAUGGGUCCUGUCCCCGUGCUUUAAUAAAAUCACCUUUUUGCACCGGAGACCUCUUUAAGAAUUCUUUCUUGGCCAUCAGCUCCAAAACCCUCAUCAUCCCAAAACCUCAUCAAAGAAACUUUAAGUAGCCUGUUCCAGGUCACACAGCUAAGAAGUGAUGAUGGGAUAUGAAGUCAGGUAGGCUUAAAAGUAACUUAUCCUGUCCUGGAAUAGGUGAGUGGCUUUGAACAAAAAGCUGUUUCUUUACAUAUGAAAAAGGAGAUAUGUUUUCUAGAAACUACUUAAACCUGCCCAAGCACAUGCUGAAUUCACCCAAGAUCUUGGACAGUCUGUGGAAAGCCUCUGGUCUUAGGGGAUGGUAAAGAGGAUGCUCCCUUACUUGAAGGCAACCAACAUGUAUAAUAUUUGUGCAUUUGCAUCCCCAUUUAGAACAUCUGAAUUCCAUGACCAUUCACUUAAGCAGGGAGAAAGGAAGACAGAAGAGACAUUCAGUAUUCAAUGCCUGGCAGAGAUAUUUGAUACACUGGCUUCCAAAGAAGCAUUGGGAAGACUGGAGAAUCCCCUGUUCAGACUCUUGAAGAGGACUUUCCUAGCAGAGCCACCCCUGCAGGAGCAAACAGAGCCCGGC
rnacentral:lncRNA from 1 species